rnacentral:rRNA from 1 species
GACGUAGGGCGCGAGCGUUUGUCCGGAUUUAUUGGGCGUAAAGAGCGUGUAGGCGGCCUGACAGGUCUGCUGUGAAAACUCGAGGCUCAACCUCGAGAUGUCGGCGGAAACCGUCUGGCUAGAGUCCGGAAGAGGAGAGUGGAAUUCCUGGUGUAGCGGUGAAAUGCGCAGAUAUCAGGAAGAACACCUAUGGCGAAGGCAGCUCUCUGGGGACGGUACUGACGCUGAGACGCGAAAGCGUGGGGAGCGAACAGG